AGCUCUGUAAGCGUAUACCAAAGUUGUUGCAGUUAAAACGCUCGUAGUCGAAUUUUGGCGGGCUCCUUGUCUUGUCCGCAAGGACGAGUUCAUGGCGGCCGCCUUUGUGGAUGGGGGCUCGGUGGUGCUUUAUUGCCUCGUCGAGUCACCGCCACCGUUUACUGUGAAAAAAUUAGAGUGUUCAAAGCAGGCGAUUGCCAUUGAAUACAUUAGCAUGGAAUAAUAGAAUAGGACCUGAGUCUUAUUCUGUUGGUUUGUUAAGUUCAGGUAAUGAUUAAGAGGGACGGUUGGGGGCAUUUGUAUUCCGGCGCUAGAGGUGAAAUUCUUGGAUUGCCGGAAGACAAACAGCUGCGAAAGCGUCUGCCAAGGACGUUUUCA
rnacentral:rRNA from 1 species